rnacentral:rRNA from 1 species
UACGUAGGUGGCGAGCGUUGUCCGGAUUUACUGGGCGUAAAGGGCGCGUAGGCGGCGCGGUAAGUCACUUGUGAAAUCUCUGAGCUUAACUCAGAACGGCCAAGUGAUACUGCAGUGCUAGAGUGCAGAAAGGGCAAUCGGAAUUCUUGGUGUAGCGGUGAAAUGCGUAGAUAUCAAGAGGAACACCUGAGGCGAAGGCGGGUUGCUAGGCUGACACUGACGCUGAGUGCGCGAAAGCCAGGGGAGCAAACGGG